rnacentral:rRNA from 1 species
UGGGGAAUAUUGGACAAUGGGCGCAAGCCUGAUCCAGCCAUGCCGCGUGAGUGAUGAAGGCCUUAGGGUUGUAAAGCUCUUUUAUCCGGGACGAUAAUGACGGUACCGGAGGAAUAAGCCCCGGCUAACUUCGUGCCAGCAGCCGCGGUAAUACGAAGGGGGCUAGCGUUGCCCGGAAUCACUGGGCGUAAAGGGCGCGUAGGCGGCGUUUUAAGUCGGGGUGAAAGCCUGUGGCUCAACCACAGAAUGGCCUUCGAUACUGGGACGCUUGAGUAUGGUAGAGGUUGGUGGAACUGCGAGUGUAGAGGUGAAAUUCGUAGAUAUUCGCAAGAACACCGGUGGCGAAGGCGGCCAACUGGACCAUUACUGACGCUGAGGCGCGAAAAGCGUGGGGGAGCAAAACAGGAUUAGAUACCCUGGUAGUCCACGCCGUAAACGAUGAAUGCCAGCUGUUGGGGUGCUCGCACCGCAGUAGCGCAGCUAACGCUUUGAGCGUUCCGCCUGGGGGAGUACGGUCGCAAGAUUAAAACUCAAAUGAAUUGACGGGGUCAUAGCUGUUUCCUG